UACAGCAGCAGACCUCAUCAGCCUCAUUUCCUGUAGUUUCUGUAACGUUAACGUCUGCUGCAGUGUCACCCGAAGCGGCAGUAUAGCCUCAGGGGCAGGCUUACCAAAACACUGAGAGAGUGUAGUUUAAAUUCGCUCUCGUUUCAUAUAUCUCCUUUAGUGAUUCACA